rnacentral:rRNA from 1 species
CCUACGGGGCGCAGCAGUGGGGAAUAUUGCACAAUGGGGGAAACCCUGAUGCAGCGACGCCGCGUGAAGGAUGAAGUAUUUCGGUAUGUAAACUUCUAUCAGCAGGGAAGAAAAUGACGGUACCUGACUAAGAAGCCCCGGCUAACUACGUGCCAGCAGCCGCGGUAAUACGUAGGGGGCAAGCGUUAUCCGGAUUUACUGGGUGUAAAGGGAGCGUAGACGGGCUGUUAAGUCAGCGGUAAAAGCCCGGGGCUCAACCCCGGCGAGCCGUUGAAACUGGCUGUCUUGAGAUGUCGAGAGGUAUG